GCUAGGGAGUGCUGGGCUUAGGCAUCCAUCCAGUGGCCGCACAGUCACCUCUGGCGCUCGGGACCACGGGCCCGGGGUCCGCAGUGCUAGGCGGUGCACCCAGGGGCAGGGGUGUCGGGGCGGGAGAGGAAGGAAACAGCGCCGAGUCCAUCCUGACCCGUAAACACCCUUCAUUCUGCAGGGAAAAAGACUGCUCCGAGCCCGGAGGCUCCCCACACCAGCCCCAGCCAGGGUGGAGGCAGCUCAGCGCAGGCAAAGCGCAUUCUGGAUGCCCACAAGGGAAGCCCCAGGAAGCCGCUUUCGCCGCGGCCCCCACCCUUGGAAAAGCCUUGUCCCCCUUCCUUAUACAAGCUCUAGGGUGUGGCUAGGAACUUUGUGGAGCCCUCGCGCGGGCUGGCGGUAAAGACCCGAGUGAGGCUGAGUCAUCCUCGCCUGGCGGAGCGCAACUCGGGUGACCGGGGCCAGCAGUGAGCUCCUGACCUCGCCUAGUCUCCUAGCGCUCCUGACGCCUGGGUUCUCCUUAUGUGCUUGUUUUUCCGCCUCCGGGACGUCAUACGUUUUUUUUCCUGUCAUCCUGCACCCCUGGGUUUGCAGGGAACUGAGAAAAGGUGGGCUCUGGCUUCCACUGGGUGGUAUCGGGCUAGGAUCCAGCCCGGCUCUCCUGCACAGCAGUCUCCAGAAAAGUUAUCUUGGCAGCGAGUGUUUGGAUUCCUGAGUUGGCUGUGAGGGGCUCUUACCGGGCCUUUUUCCGCGUACCGGCUGACCCUAGCCCGGAUGGGCGUAAAAGCCAGUCAUACACCUACCCAGGGAAGCCGCCUCCGGAGCAGGCCCACCAGGAGAGCGCCAAGUGCACCCUGCCCACGGGUAGUGUCUCUACGGAUGACUAACUGGUUAUAAUGAGUUCUCCGCUUCUGUGCACACCUCCCGCCUAUGAAAACGUGCCAGCCUUUCCCAAACAGAAGCAAGCACAGCCUGACCCCAGGGCAAGUGGUCUCUGUAUGAGCUUUGACACUCGGACUGGGGGCUGAGAGAAAAUUAAUUUUCUUGCCAGAAUGCAAUAGUUUUCUAAAUAGAUGCUUGAGUGAAUGAAUGCGUGGGUACAUACUAGCCCUGAUUCAUAAAGCUUCAUCAUCCCCUCUAUGGUGUCUGUAUGCUAACAGCCUUUCCUACACUCAUUUAUCCAGUCAGUAAUGGCGAAGCAUCUUGGACAAGAUGGACACAGUAGGACAUGCGGGGGGAAGUGGGGUGAAUCCUUCAGGCAACCUGCCCUCCUGGGAUUUAUACACCCAGAAGGACCAGGCCUUUCUCCAAAAGCAAUAAUGAGAAAUAUACAAUUAUACAUUUUGACAGAGGAUCAACAAUAGUACAUGUGAAGAAAAGGUACAUGUUAUGCCCUGAUUAUCUUGUGCCAUUAGCUGCAGCCACCUGAGGGCACCAAGGUCAUGACCAUGUUUGGUGAGUCAGUCUUUAUGAACUGCCACCUGGCAUGGAUAAACUCCAUGGUUGUUUUACCGAAGUGAGAGAGUCUUAACCCAUGGCAAGGAUUUUGAGAAUUAGUAACUAUUAAACAAAACAAUCUUAGGCAGAACAUGGUAUGCUUACAUUUAAGAUGGAUACACUAAGUAUUUCUUACUAGCUCAAAAAUGAUUUAAAUGGCUCUUUUAAUUUACCCAGAGCUCAAAGCAUUGUGAGAAUUUGGGAACCUGCCACUCAAGUAUUCUAUCCCUUUUCAUCAUAACAUUCAGUGAAGAAAGGGAUCUAGGUGUGUACUCUUAUUUAACAGAGGGGCAUAAUGAGGCCCAGAAGGGCUUAGUGACUGGUCCAAAGACCACAGCCAGUCAAAGAAGGCCACCUGGCUUCAGACCAGGGUGGUCUGAACAGCCACAGCACCUUCCACUGUGUUAAAAGCAACAUGGAGGAUUUGGAUCCUGCUGUUUACACCCAGAAGCAGACACUUCGACACACACAGCUUUCAGCUGUAGCGGAGUCCAGCCAAAUGAGACUGCCACUUGCUGAUCAGAACACCAGUCUCGCCUGCGGCGGAGCUUGCACUGUGUCCUGAAACCAUGAGCUACUGGGAAGAUGGUACCAGCAGUGAAACCUGAGCCCAAAGUAGAUGAUUUCAAAUGCUCGCGUGCUUCCAAUCCAGAGAGAUCCCAGAGAAGCAAUUUUUUAGAGGCGAGCUUACACUGUCCCACCCUACCCCACCCCCUGAGCUUUUGAGCAAAUAAGACUCCUAUGUUUGCCAUAGUACCUUGGGGGGGGCAUUUAGUAAGUGGAAACUGAACAGUCACACAAAAGUUGUCCUGUCCCAUAAGGAUUUGCAGAUGUCCCACUGGACAUUCAAGGAAGAAAAGAAUCACACUUAGAACUACCAGAAUGCAGAACUUAAAAUCCAUUUCAUAUAUUAAUAUAUAAACAUAAAGGAGCUUUGCAUGGCUUUUAUAAACUGAAUGCAGCUGCUGCGUAACUGAAGGAAGGUGAUUCCGUUCCGUACCAAAAGAUUUUUGUUUGGUUUGAUUGCAGCUUGCUUCUUCAUCACCAAGACCUAGGACCUCGAAAACAGCACUAGACUUGCCAAGAUGGUGAGGACCAGAAAACUGGUGUCCUGAACUGAUCCUCAGUCACAACUCUCCAGGACGAUGUAGAGGAAGAAGACAAAGACGAUGUCGCUAAAGUUGAAAACCACACAUCAAACACUGACUUCUAUGCUAUUAGCAGAAUGCUGCUGGCCACCUUUAGAACCUGCCUUCCGUCCAUGUGUUGUUUCUAACCCCAUGUGCAGACAGAUGCUGAGGAGGCUGCAAUGAUGACAGGGGGUAUUCUGCUUUCGGGAGCAGUUCGGCUGUGUCUAAAAUACGGCCCCAGGAAAGCACAGACCUGAAAACAGCCUCAGGUCCACUGUGUCAAAACUCCUGCACGGAACAGAUAUUUAGGUAACCUUGAGCUGAAUUCAGCUGGAUGAGAUGAUCCAUUCCAAUGUUAAGCCUUCCACUGACCUGAAAGAAGUAGGCCCUUGAGCCCCUAACACAGGCAAUGGCAGUGAGUGGUCCGGGAGCUUGCUUUAUGACAGAUGCGGCCGUUCUAUUUAGCAGCUGCCCCAACUCUGAGAAGAUUGUCAUGGGAAAAGGGCAAAGGGCCACCCCUGAGGAAGGAAGCUGGAGGAAUCAUCUGGCAUGGAGCAGUUCCCCCAAGCCAAUGGAUGCCAGCCACUGAGAUUGGAGCCAACUGGCUAGGGACUGAGCUUAAGGGCUUUAUGGUCCUCUGGUCCUUUCCCUACCCACCCUAGCUCUUCCCCCGGCAUGAGAACAAGCACCCAGUGAGCCUCUGAUCUUUACUGACAAAAUGAUUCCGUGUGGGAGUCUGUGCCUGUGACUGUGACUGGGUGUGUACAUGAUUGUGUGUAAUAGCAUAUAAUAUGAUGUUGUGUGUAUAUGUGUGACUGUGCAUGCGGAUGUAUGGUAACCAUGCCAUUGCAAAAGGCAAUGUGUCCUAGCAUUCAGUUGAGGGGCUCCCAGCAUACUGAUUUCAACUGACCCUUUGUCUCUGGGAACAGGUGCCUCUCAUUCACACAGCCACACCGACUUGCACAGUGAGGCAGCACCUCGGCAGCCACCCUCUCCAGUCAAGAAAAGAUGCUCCUGUGGGACAGGGAGCCCUGAGUGAACAGCUGGAGCAUAUGCUGAUGCUGCUCCUCAGCUUUUCAUCAGGCUGAAUGGAGAAGAGAAGGAAGAAGUCACACAUCACACACCUUCCAAUUGUAGGACUCGAAAGUCACUGAUUUCCACAGAGGACAAGCUGCCUUUUGGGAGCAGGAGUAUCUUUCUGGGUUAAGAUCUGUUUCCUUUAAAGUAUUCUGAGAAAUUGCAAGGUUUCUGAAUGUCUAUCAAAUAGGCAUUGGUUUAAAAAAAUUAAUCACAGUUUAUCACAUAAUGGAAUUUUAUAUAGCCACUUAGAAAAGGGACUCUCAGCCAGGCUAGGGGCACACACAUGGAUCUGUUUUCCCACAAAGAUGGAAACAGGAGGGUCAAGAGACCGGACUAGAGCAAUUUAAUGAGACUCUGCCUCAAAAUAAAAUAAAGGAGUACCAUUCAGUGGUAAACA